rnacentral:rRNA from 1 species
UACGAAGGUGGCAAGCGUUGUUCGGAUUUACUGGGCGUACAGGGAGCGUAGGCGGUUGGAUAAGCCCUCCGUGAAAUCUCCAGGCUUAACCUGGAAAGUGCAGAGGGGACUGUUCAGCUAGAGGAUGGGAGAGGAGCGCGGAAUUCCCGGUGUAGCGGUGAAAUGCGUAGAGAUCCGGAAGAACACCGGUGGCGAAGGCGGCCUGCUGGGCAGUUGCUGACACUGAGGCGCGACAGCGUGGGGAGCAAACAGG